rnacentral:lncRNA from 1 species
UAUAUAUCUCGAGUCAAAAUCAAAGAGAUCAUCAACUACUGCGAAUGCUCUUGAGGAUCCUCUACAGCUUUUCCUCCUGUAUCUGGAUAAGGUAUAUAUAUAUAUAUGAAUCAGAAUGUUAUUUUACUUCGGUAGAUAUGCUUAUCCUCUUUAACUUUUACCUUUUCCCUUUAUUCUUGGCCUCUUGGCCAAAAUGUCGAGAGUGAAAGAAUUAGAUAUGUUCACACUCGCAAUUAACAUUAUUUGAGGAAUUUUGACAUAAUCCUUGCGUCUUAGAGAUUUUAAUUUUGACAUUAUUUGAGGAAUAUGAUUAGUUCUCACAAUUAUAUAGAGUGUGUUUGGAAGCGUGGUUGUGAUUAUUUUUUAAAAUGGUUUUUUAUUUGGAAGUGCAUCAAAAUAAUAUUUUUUUUUAUUUUUUAAAAUUAUUUUUAAUAUCAGCACAUCAAAAUAAUUUAAAAACACUAAAAAAAUAUUAAUUUAAAAUAAAAAAAAAAUUAAAUUGUUUUAAAAUACUUCUAAAACACCAAACCAAAACAAAGAGGAUAUAAAAUAUUCUACCAAUCAAGAAGUACAAUCUUAAAUAUUCUACGAAUCAAGAAGUACAGAUUUUGCUUUGAGACUGGUGGGCAUGAAGCACUUGUCCAUAGAAUUGAUCCAUCCAAUUGGAGAACUCAUCAAUGGCUUCUGAUACUGGUCGAGUUUCGCACUUGAGGUCUUGGUUCAGAUCAUGAGUUGGAGAACUCUAAACUAUUCCUGUUGUUAUCACAUAAUACAUAUCAUAUCAGACAAAUAAACAUCAGAAGGAAAUAUACUGCAGAACCUCAUGAUCACUUCUUGAAAACAAUGGCCUCUGCCGCCGGAUUUUAAAUACAAGUCAUGCUCAAUAAAUUCUCUUAUGAAUAUACUCAUCUAGAUACGGAUGGUUAUAGCAAAACAAAUUUAUUUUUAGUCUCUGUUUGGUUGAUAGAAAGUUAUUUUUUUUUUUUAAAUAAUUUUCAGAAAAGUGAAUUAUUUUCCGAUGUUUGGUAGUGUAAUGAAAAAUAAGUUGCAAAACACUUUCUAGUGUUUUGUUAUGUCAUGAAAAAUGAGCUGGAAAAUAAUUUAUUAAUAUUUUAUUUUUUUCAAAUUUAUUAAAAUAACAAGGAACAAAUCUUACAAAUUAAAAAGUUGAAUAAGAAUGAAAUUGAAAAAAAUAAUAAUUUCAUAAAUUAUCUCAAAUAAAAUAAAUAAUAAUAAAAAUAAUAGAGAUCAAAUCUAACAAAUUAAAAAAUUAAAAGAUGAAGAAAUUAAAAUAAUAAUAAUUAUCAUUUAAUAAAUUAUAUCAAAUAAAAUAAGUAACAAUAAAAAGAAUGAGGAUCAAAUUUGAUAAAUAAAAAAAUUCAAUUAAAAAAUGAUAAGGGAAAAGCAAAUAACAAUAAUAAAAAUGAGGACCAAAGUUAAUAUAAAAAUCAAAUUCUAAGGGAUGAAAUUGAAAAAAAAAUAUUCAAAACAAAAUAUAUAUAGCAAUCAAAAGUUUGAUGGCCAAAAUUGAUAUAAUCAGCAAAUAAUAUGAUAUUCUAAAUUUUUAACAACUUCUGAAAAAUAUUUUCCACCCAAAAUAAAAGGAAAACACUUUCCUGGAAAUUAAGUCAAAUUUUUCUUUGACUGGAAAAUAUUUUUUGUUGACCAACUUUUCUAAUGAUAAACAAACAUAAACAAAUUUAGAAAAUAAUUUCCAAAAAACUACUUUUCACCUAUCAAACAAGUUCUUCCUUGUAGAAUUUUUUCCAAGAAUUCUUAAUCAUUAGCAAAAAUAAAUAAAUUAUAUAUGAUCUUUAGUUCAAUAAAUUUAUUAAAAAAGAAAAACGAGCACGUAGUGGGUUUCAAGUUUAAGACAUUAUAGAUGAGGGUUUUUUUUUUUUAAUAAUAAUGAUAUACUAAUUCACUAAUUCUCUCACUAUCACAUGACACUUGACUGAAGGACUUAAGUGUAAAAUCAGUCUUUAGAACUAAUUUACAUUAUAUUCUCUAACAUGUUCAAGUUAAAGCUUUUUUAUUUUGAAUUCACAAAAAUUUAUUGCCAUCUUGUACUUUAUUAAUAUUUUAAUUAAUAAGGAAAAAAGGGUGAUGGGGUUUGAAUUACUGAUAACUUAGUCAAAAAAAGCUUAUAUACUAUGCAUAAAAAUCAUAUACUAAAAACAUAUAUCAUGUUAUGUGAGGCUCAAAAAUAAAAUCUAAAUAUUCUAAUUUUCAAUAUUUUGGAUGGGAUUUUUUUUAUAGGAAAUUCGUAUGCUUUUCCAUCAUAAACUUUUACGUGUAAAAGGAUAAAAGAGCUUAAAUUACUUUUAGUUUAGAAAUGGAGAGCUGAUAUGAGCUAAUUUAGAGUAAAAUGUAUGAUUUUAAUUAUUUAGAUUAAUUAAAACGUUAUAAUUUUUAAAUUUAAAAUAAUAUUAUUAUAAAAAAAAACCGAGUUUUAAGGGUUGACUCGUAAUUUAUCAAGAUCAAACAACCGAGCUAGGUUUUGACUCGAACCAUCAUAUUAGAACAGGUUUAACUCGUGUCACCUUCGCGUCGGCCAAGAACAAAAACAUACUCGCACACUUGCCUAUAAUGUGAUCACAAGGAACAUGCUUAUGCCUUGGAAUUUCUUGUUACUUGAGAUCUUUUUUUUGGGUAUCAAGAUUUCUUGAGAUUUGCUUCUUCUGACUUCCUCACCGACUCAUUAAAAAUUGCUUUUAGUUCUUUUUCAGAGUAAUAAAUAGUUUAAGACUAUUCGUUACCACCUUUCGGUUCUUUCUAUAGUUGGGUAUUUAAUAUUUAAUAUGCUAUUGUCCAAAGUGUCAAAAAUACUCCUAGGGGUUUGUUUGGGAAUGUGGUUACGGUUAAUUUUUAAAAUACUUUUCAUGCUGAAAUAUAUUAAAAUAAUAUAUAUUUUUAUUUUUUAAAAAUCAUUUUUGAGAUCAACGCAUCAAAACGAUUCAAAAUAUAUAAAAAAAUUAAUUUUUAAUAGAAAAAAUUUGAAUUUUUUAAAAACACAGGUUGACUCGCGUUUCCAAACGCUACCUAAAUAACUUGUACUUUAUUCUACUAAUUUUUUAUUAUUUUCGUAUUCCCAUGCUAAAUUUAUUUCCAAAGGAACAUUGCUUUUAUCAAAUUUUAUUGUAAAGUAAUUAUAAUUAAUUGCAAUGCUUAAUUCCUUACCAAUCAUUAAUGGAAAUUUUGUCUUUACUUUUUCUUACAAAAAACGGUGGAAUUCAAACACAUGUAGAAAAUUUCUUAAAGAUUACUAACUUGUUUGAGAUUGUAAAAGUGGUUGUGGUUUAAAGUAUUUUUUAUUUAGAAAUGCAUCAAAAUUAUAUCUUUUUAUUUUUAAAAAAUUAUUUUUAAAAUUAACAUAUCAAAAUGAUCUGAAAAUAUAUAUAAAAAAAUAAUUUAUAACAAUUAUUUUUUAAAAAAUUAAUAACACCCGGUUUGCACCGCUAUGUUCCCAAAGGGACUCUUGAUAACCCUCUCUAAAAAACAAGAGCAAAACUAGAAUUUUAGAGAUAAAGGGAUAAUAUGAUUAGUAUAAAGGAACAUUUAAAUUAAAUAAAUUAAUGUUGGAUCAGAAUUUUUGGAAUAGGAGAAUAUGAUAUUUUAAUGAAAUCAAUUUAACUUAAUUUGAUGCUAGUUUUAAGACUUUAGGACUAAAUUGAAAACCUUCUCAAAGUCUAUGCAUGGCCACCCAUUAUCCAAGCAUAAUUGCAUAAACAGAGUUCUGCGCCCCUGCCGACGAAGUAGAAUUCCAGCAAUAUCCUCGGUGACAAGCACGAUAAUUCAUGUAGCAAAAUUCAAGCUACAUAACUACAAAACAAAAUUAAAAUACCCUAUGCUAAAUUACAAGGGAAUAACUCAAUUGAUUAAAAUUUAAAUUUAUUUUUUAAAAAUUAUCUUGAGUCCUGCAAAUCUCAGGAUCAUUGGAGACUUACAUGGUCGUUAACUUCAAGAUUUGUAAAAUUUGUUAAGGAGAGUACAAGGUAGCCUGGACAUCCAUGUUUAUAAUAAUAAUAAUAAUAAAAAACUCCAGUAUCAUGUUAAAAAAAAAUCUAUUUUUAAAAAAGCUUAACGAAUAACCACUUUAAUAUAAAUUAUAUUCUGAGAAUUAUUUAAUAAUUUAAGCUAUUAAGUUGAGAUGAUUACUAAUUUGUCUUUAAAACGUUGGUCUCACCACCCUUUUCUGAGAGUUAACUUCAUGCACACAUCAUUCUUCUUAUCAUUUCAAUCUUAAAAAAGCUACAGAGCAAGCAAAUGCACAAUCCGUCAUAAACAAAAGGAAGGAAAAAGAGGAAGUGGGCAGGCUUGGAUUUUCAAUCAAAUAUCGUUCCUUCUCAACUGUAUCUACCAAGCUACCAUAUUCUAGAUUACUGCAAGAGGUUUGACCUAUUCUUUACUCAAAAGUGCUAAAGCUUGCCAGAUCAGGAGAUUUAAGACGAGAAUAGAAGUCGAAGUGAUUCAAAUCUUUGAAACCGAAAGCUAAAGAAGUGAUCCCACCUGUGCAUAUAUUCCAUACAAGUCAUUUAGUUUCCUGUAAUAGCUAGAGGUAUUUCUUUUGAUAAUCUCCUGCUAGUCUCUGCUCGUUCCUUGAAGGCUUGUAUGCUUAAAGGCAUGGUCCAGAUAUAC